rnacentral:rRNA from 1 species
CCUACGGGUGGCAGCAGUGGGGGAUAUUGCACAAUGGGGGGAACCCUGAUGCAGCGACGCCGCGUGGGUGAAGAAGCGCCUCGGCGCGUAAAGCCCUGUCAGCAGGGAAGAAAAUGACGGUACCUGAAGAAGAAGCCACGGCUAAAUACGUGCCAGCAGCCGCGGUAAUACGUCGGGGGCAAGCGUUAUCCGGAUUUACUGGGGGUAAAGGGGGCGCAGGCGGCGAUGCAAGCCAGGAGUGAAAGCCCGGGGCGCAACCCGGGGACUGCUCUUGGUACUGCGUGGCUGGAGUGCAGGAGGGGCAGGCGGAAUUCCAGGUGUAGCGGUGAAAUGCGGAGAGAUCAGGAGGAACACUGGUGGCGAAGGCGGCCUGCUGGACUGCGACUGACGUUGAGGCCCGAAAGCGUGGGGAGCAAACAGGAUUAGAUACCCGGGUAGUC